AUACGGAGGAUCCGAGCGUUAUCCGGAUUUAUUGGGUUUAAAGGGUGCGCAGGCGGCCAUUUAAGUCAGCGGUUAAAUCGUGGGGCUCAACCCCAUUCUGCCGUUGAUACUGGGUGGCUUGAUUGCGGUCGAGGUUGGCGGAAUUCGUUGUGUAGCGGUGAAAUGCAUAGAUAUGACGAAGAACACCGAUUGCGUAGGCAGCUGACCAGACCGCAAAUGACGCUCAUGCACGAAAGUGCGGGGAUCGAACAGGAUUAGAUACCCUGGUAGUCCGCACAGUAAACGAUGAAUACUUGUUUUCGGCGAUAUAAUGUCGGAGGCAAAGCGAAGGCGAUAAGUAUUCCACCUGGGGAGUACGCCGGCAACGGUGAAACUCAAAUGAAUUGACGGGG
rnacentral:rRNA from 1 species